rnacentral:lncRNA from 1 species
ACGAGAAAAGAGAGAGAAAUAAAUGGACAAAGAUAAAGAAAGAGAGAAAACUCAAGACUCCAGUUGUAUUUUUUACAAGUUUUAUUCUCCGCUGAAGAAACAAACAGCCUUGUAUCUUCCACCCUCUUGACCUUAACCUGGUUCCAGAUCUGGUCCUGUUAUCAUAAACCUGGUCCCAGAUCUGGUCCUGUUAUCAUAAACCUGGUUCCAGAUCUGGUCCUGUUAUCAUAAACCUGGUUCCAGAUCUGGUCCUGUUAUCAUAAACCUGGUUCCAGAUCUGGUCCUGUUGUCAUUGACCUGGUCCCAGAUCUGGUCCUGUUGUCAUUGACCUGGUCCCAGAUCUGGUCCUGUUGUCAUUGACCUGGUUCCAGAUCUGGUCCUGUAGACAUUGACCUGGUCCCAGAUCUGGUCCUGUUGUCAUUGACAUAAACCUGGUUCCAGAUCUGGUUCUGUUGACAUAAACCUGGUUCCAGAUCUGGUCCUGUUGUCAUUGACCUUAGCCUGGUUCCAGAUAAGGUCGUGCCGUCUCCGACAAGGCAUUGUCUUACAUCAGAUAGUGCGAUGAUUCUGUCUGCAUUGACUGGUUGAGGACUGCAUGUCGUCUAGGAAUGAAGCCACCUGCCGCAGGACAAUGGCAACAAGAAGUUGUCAUGACAGCAUACACAGGUCUGGGACCAGACUAAGUUAAAGCCUGGUGUCAACCACCCUGUUUCCCUCUGAAAGCACAAACAGGUCUGGGACCAGACUAAGUUAAAGCCUGGUGUCAACUACCCUGUU